GACGGAGGGGGCUAGCGUUAUUCGGAAUUAUUGGGCGUAAAGGGUGUGUAGACGGCUUUUUAAGUCAUCCGUGAAAUUCUCCAGCCUAACUGGAGGGGGUCGGAUGAUACUGAUCGGCUUGAGGGUGGAAGAGAGAAGUGGAAUUCUCGGAGUAGCGGUAAAAUGCGUAGAUCUCGAGAGGAACACCGAUGGCGAAGGCAGCUUCUUGGUCCACUCCUGACGUUGUGGCACGAAAGCGUGGGGAGCAAACAGG
rnacentral:rRNA from 1 species